rnacentral:rRNA from 1 species
AGUGAACGCUGGCGGUAGGCCUAACACAUGCAAGUCGAACGGCAGCACAGUAAGAGCUUGCUCUUACGGGUGGCGAGUGGCGGACGGGUGAGGAAUACAUCGGACUCUACUUUUUCGUGGGGGAUAACGUAGGGAAACUUACGCUAAUACCGCAUACGACCUACGGGUGAAAGCAGGGGAUCUUCGGACCUUGCGCGAUUGAAUGAGCCGAUGUCGGAUUAGCUAGUUGGCGGGGUAAAGGCCCACCAAGGCGACGAUCCGUAGCUGGUCUGAGAGGAUGAUCAGCCACACUGGAACUGAGACACGGUCCAGACUCCUACGGGAGGCAGCAGUGGGGAAUAUUGGACAAUGGGCGCAAGCCUGAUCCAGCCAUACCGCGUGGGUGAAGAAGGCCUUCGGGUUGCAAAGCCCUUUUGUUGGGAAAGAAAAGCAGCAGGUUAAUACCCCGCUGUUCUGACGGUACCCAAAGAAUAAGCACCGGCUAACUUCGUG